AGAGAAAGCAAUGUUUAGUGAACUUUAGAAAUAUCACAGUGCAGCACUUACUGGGGUUUAAAGCAUAAUAAUGAGUGGUGACACUGGAUGGAUUCCAGAAGAUGCUUGUCGAAAAUAUUAAUCAGUGAGUUUUUAAAUGUUGCUUUAGUGGUUUGUUAGAGGGAAUUUUUUCUGAGAUUUCUGCCUAUUAUAAUUUUCAUUUUCAGUCUCUGACUGGGAACAUAUAAAUACCUUUCACAGUGAUACAGGUAGUAGCCACACAACUGGAGAUGGGGGAAGAGAGUUUAAUCCACUGUUGGGACACAACUUCCUGUGCCCCUGCAGAGGAGGAGAGGGCUCUGCUCUCCAGGGUCACAGCUUCCCUCCACGUUGUUCAGUGCUGCUGGCCACAAGGAGCUCAGGAUGAAGAAGGCAAAAUAGGCCACUCUUCUUUAACUGGCAGCUGAAGUUCCAGUAAAGAACUAGCCACAAGCUUUGAAUGUUAUGACCCCUACAACAGGGUAAUAAUUCUACAAGAAGAGCUACAUUCAGCAGACACAGUCCCAGCAGUCACUGCUACCUGAAGUGUUCUGAGGUUGCAACUGUAGAGCCCAGGCAAAAAGAGAAAUCUCAAUCCUGUGUGGGAUUGAGAAUGUUUCCUCCUUAGCAACAGUAUCCGUGCUGCAAGGGGAUCCUCCCUGGCAGACUAGUCUGCAUUAAAUAGAAAUUGCUGGUAAAUUUUUUCAAAAGACUAAGCCCAUGAAUCACACAAGGCAGAUAAUGUAUAGCUGAAUCUCUGGAACUAAGCAGACUUCAGCAGUGUUGGGAUUUACCUUUUGUUUACUAAGAAAAACCAAUUCUUGGAGGAAAAGAAAAGAGUGCUGGAGCAUCAGCUAAUGCUUGUUUCUGCAGUUACUGUCAGUGGUUAGAAUGAUGCGCCAAGAAUCAUCAUUUGCUGCAAUCUGGUCAUUUGCCCAGAGCUAAAUACAAAUAUGAUAAGAUGUGGCUAGUGUCCCAGUGAGUUUGUGAUCUAAUUCAGAAGCACAGUGUGUGGGGAGAUGGCCAGUCUGGAACGCCUUGAAGGUAAAACGUUGUCUCUGGUUGACUGGAAUCUUUCCCUGUAUGGCAUUAGCAGCUUGCUUUAAACUCCUCUCCACAAAUAACAGUGCUAUUAAAACAAGAAAUCCCUUCUCAUUUGAAGUUCAGACUGCUUGAUAUGAGGAGUCAGAAUAUAUUGUUAGUCUUUGUUUAUAAAAAGCCUUUCUCAGCCUUCAGAAAAAACCCCAAAACAACACAUUCCUCCUGCAGUGAGGAAUCUCCCACCAUGCUCUCUCCAGUGGUUGAAUGUUACCUCCUGUGGUCCUUAAAGUAUUUCUGAUGGGCUUCAAUGGAAAGAAGCACUACCUCUUCACAGAAUUGAAAUUCAGUCAUGUACAAUAUAUUGUUUUGCAGGUAGUCUACCUUCUAAUGACACAGCUCACAAGAUAAACUGUACUACACAGAUCUCUUUUACAGAAAGCUUCUCAGUUCAACUCACUGUUAGAAUAAGUUUGCUCCUUGUUGUUGGGGUGCAGUAAUAAGAACAGACAAAAAGCAGUGUGUACCAAAAGAAACUCUGUAAAUACAUGUUUUGUGGUGUAAAGGAAAGUAGAGAGACAGUAGAGCUGAAAUAACAGCUUUUGUAGCAAAUGGAAAUGUGAUCCCUCACCCCACCAGCAUAAAAAAAAGAUAAUGGCUUGCAAAUCUAUCCAGAGCCCUUCUCACUGUGUGGCUCUCAAACCACUUUUAGCACUUCUAAUACCAUCAGUGAGUUUCUUUAUUCUAACAGCCCCAGACAUAAAAAGUGGUCUCUUCAUUCAGGAAUCCUCUCCAGGGAAGGCAGGCAGCUUCCUUUUGUGAGCAUUAAGUGUUUUAAUGAGGUAGAAAGAGAAGUAGACACAGAGGCUGAGUGGCUUGCCCAGGCUCCCAGAUUCUGCUAAACCAGAGACAGAACACACAGAGAAAAAAGUAUUCUGCAUUUACAGCACACAUUUAGUGACUCCUGUAUUUGCAAGGGCUGAUUCGAAACAGAUUUAAGUGUUUUGUCUGCAGCCAGUGGAGCUAUAACAGCUGAAGCUGGUGAGUUUAAACUGAGCAGUAUUUCUAAGUAAAUAUGAUUUUAUUCACCCAGGACUCUUUAACCUGUUGUAUUUGUUGAACAUGGCAACAGCUAUAAUAUUAUUAGAUAAAGCAAGACAUAUCUGCUUCUUGUAAGCAAGAGUCCAUUCUAUUGACUCUGUAAACUGAAGGGAAAAAAAGGAAGAAAAAAAAAAAGGUGUAAACACACAGGUUCAAUCCACUCAGCUGUGACAGGUUUGCAAUGCCUCAGACAAGCUGCAGCACAUCAGAUGUGAAACUUCAGUAGCUUCACAAUCAGUUUUAUUGCAACUGUCCAUAGGGUAGCAAAGCAUUAAGGAUAAAAUAGUGCCAGACAAACUUUAUUUUGUGUAAAUGCCUUAAUCAUAACCUAUUAAAACCAGAUUUGUCCUCAUCUCACUUUUAUAUUACACUGUUGAAACCCUGCAAUUUUUUUGCCAGUUUAAAUGACAGUAAACAAAGGCAUGGAAGAAAAAAUAAAAUGUUCUGUAAAGUUUUAGUGUAUUUUUAGAUAGCUUGUGCUAGGCUAGGGACAGGGUAGAUAGAGGUCUCAGAGAAAGUGAGAUCUAGACUGAGAAGUAGUGUUUUAUCAGCAGUAAAAAUAUAACUGAUAAUAUACAGGUUUUUAAUAAUCUAGAAAAAAUAAUUUGAUACACAAGGACAAAAUCUAGAAAACAAUCAUGUGAUACAAAAGGACCACUUGUGUUUAAAUAGCAUCAUUUAAAAAGAACUCUAGUAUAAUGACUUUCAGAAGGUGGCUGAUUGGCCAUCUAAUGCUCACCUCCCCAUUGCACAACAUUCAUACUUAUUUCUGUUAAGUCUCAUACAUGUCACAUUACAACAUCCUUUUUUGUCAGCUGCAGCAGGGCAGAGCCUGUGCAGGCAAACCCAGCUCAGAAGGUGCCUCUGUGUGGCCAGAAGCUAUUCUGUUUAUGGGCUAUUCCCGCUAUAAUAGCUGUGCAUCCUGCACAGAUGAGAUAGGCAGGGUGAGGAGGAACCACUGCAAAGCUGCAAUCAGAGGAUGCACAGAAAUAAGUCCCAGCUGCAUGGGAGGUAAUGAGGUAAUGGGCUACAGAAAGAGACAUUUCAUUAUAUCUGUUCUGACAAGCCAUUUAUUUCUUUGCUGUGCUAAUGCUGAGCCAACAAAGAAUAACAGUAUUACUUCUGGAUCCUAUCAUAAUUUGUAACAAUUGCUGGCAAUUAUAAAACUACUUUUAAAGAGUACAGUGUCAAACUACCAGAGAGAUAAAUUUUGCAGUCAUGUUUUCAAAUGUUGAGCAAGCUUUUCAGAGGAAAGGAUUUCACAGGCCCAGAGGUUUGUAUCCAUAGCAGCCUAACAAAAGAUGUUAAUCUCAUCUUUUUGUUCACUGGCUUUCAUAUUCAAACAGACUUUUCAGAAAUGAAAUGCACUGCCAGGCUUUUUUUUAUAUGAAAAGGAUUUUUUUGCUGAAUUUGGUGAACUUUAUAUUUGAUGUCAUCUGAAUGUUGUUCAUUUGACUGGAAGAAAUGAUGAUCUGCCAGUGUGACAAAUGGCCAGUAGAUGGAAGGAGCACACUGUGACCAAAAACAAGCAGAGCCUGGAGAAUUUCCUGAGAACUGAGGCUCCAGUCAUGAAGGAGAUGAUUAGCAGGGACCAGAUGAAUAGAUUGUCACAGACUCCCUGUCCAUGUGAGGGCAUGGGAUGCUCCUAAUCCUCAGCCUGAUUCUUUUCCCCAGGCUUGAUCCCACCCCCACCAAAGCUGUGAAUGGGCUCAUGAAAACUUGAUAAUCACACCACAGUGAUGUUUACUGGUCCUUAAAUGUAUUCUCUUCUUUUGGUCAUAGCACCAGUGGAACAUACAAGAUUUACAAAGGUGAGCAAUUAGGAAAGAGCUCAGUGCCUCAAACAGGGCACCCUCUGUGAGAUGGGGUGAAACCAGAUCCUGGGGUAGAAAUCACUUUAGAGUGCAUCCAUUGGGCCAGGGCAUGCAGCAGUGUCCUUUAUAUGUGACCUGAGGUAGGAACAUUUUAAACUUGGGUGGAGUAGUAACUGAGAGAUGGCCAGGAGAGCUGCAAACCCACUCCUGAGCCUUCUGUUUGCCCAAGUACAGGAAGGCCUAUGAGCCACAUCCUACAGUUACCUGCUACUCUUCCAACUCUUCAAAGGGUGCCCAACAGAGAUCUGGCAACUUCAAUCGAUGCAUUUCAGAACAGGGAACAGAGCCCACAGCCUUUGUGGUGUAGUUUUCUGUGUGAGUAGCCUGAUUAUUUUUUUUUCCUAGACUGGAGGAAGAGGAAAUGGUGAUGGUCCUGCACUACAGCCAGUCUCUAAUGCUAGUGUCAGCCCCCAGAAAGGCCAGUGACUACCUGAGCUAGUUGUGUGGGGAGUUUGCUUUGGAAAGGUGUCAGAGAACGGCUUGGGAAGGAGGAACAGCAAGAGGAGGACCCUGAGCUGCCUGGGACCAAAGAAGAAACCAAAAUGACAACUUUAUGAGGAUCUGUAACGAAAGAUGUGACACUCCAUGGAAAACAAGGACAACAAAAAUAUCUCAUGAUGAAGGGAACGGGAAAGGAGCGGAUCAAAGACGCUGAUCCUUUUGCCACAGUGGAGACAUGAAAUCAGAACCAAAUGCAAACUCCGAGCUGUGCUGCAUUACAGGAGGGCUCCUCUCGCAUUUCUUUUCACUCUAUUGAGACAAACGGACUUAAGCCUCCCGCCCUCCCACAAAACGCUGACAUGAUGCGGAUGCUGCACGGCCGGUCCCCGCGUUACCGGGAGCCGCCGUCCCGGCACAGAAGGGCUGAGGCGGCCGGGCCGGACUCGGAGCUGGCACCGUCCCGGGGGACCCGAGCGGAGCCGCAGCCCAGCCCCGGAGGAGCCGAGCGGAGCCGCAGCCCGGCCCGGGAGAUCGCCGCCGGUUCUCCCUCGCUUGGCGGGGGGCGGUGG